rnacentral:lncRNA from 1 species
GAAAAGAUUGCUGUUCAAGGAAAUACAUGUGAAAGGUUGGACUUAACUAAGGACGAGAAAAUCAAAUCGAUCAAAGAGUGGUUUGAACCAAAAUACAUUGUCGACUAUUCAGAUAUCUUUGAAGAUUUGGCCCAUUUAGGGCCAACAGUGUUGAUGAUUUAUGCCAACAACAUUAGUGAUAAAGCUUCAUUCGUAGGAUCUGAACUGGUUGAUGGUCGAACUGUUAAUCAUUGGUUUUAUUGCACCAAUCCUAAUGGACCUUACAUUGACUUUUACUUUGAUGUUAAGACCUCGUUGCCUUAUCGGUUCUCGUUGAAUUAUCCUAAAUGGAUUGAGACACAAGAGGUCAUUUCAGUAAAUGAAACUCGAACAGUUAAAAAGCAAGUUGAUUCCGAUGAAAAAUAUGUUUACAACUUUUUCAAGUUCAAACCGUUGGUUAUAUCAUCAAAUGAACCCAUUCCUUAUCCAUUGGGUUAUGGGUGUGCUCGUAAAGGUACUCAUCCAUCUACUCCAUUACCGGAUUUCAGUCAAAUUGCAAGGUUUUCUAUGGAUAUGGAAGCGAUAAUCACCUAUCCUGACCGUGACCCUAUCAAAUCAACUGCUCGAGUAAUGAAACAAGGUGAUGUUAUUUCAUACGAGAUUCAAGAAGAAACUGAUUUCGUUCGUUCCAUUGAGAUGCCUCCUCCUUUAGGGCGAUAUGAAGUUGAUGAGCACACUGGUCGAUGCAGUUAUUUAACAUCAGAUUAUUCUGAAGAUGUUACACUGAUCACCCGUUGGCCUUUCCAUCAAGAUCGUGG